UACGUAGGUGGCAAGCGUUGUCCGGAAUUAUUGGGCGUAAAGCGCGCGCAGGCGGUUCUUUAAGUCUGAUGUGAAAGCCCACGACUCAACCGUGGAGGGUCAUUGGAAACUGGAGAACUUGAGUACAGAAGAGGAAAGCGGAAUUCCACGUGUAGCGGUGAAAUGCGUAGAGAUGUGGAGGAACACCAGUGGCGAAGGCGGCUUUCUGGUCUGUAACUGACGCUGAGGCGCGAAAGCGUGGGGAGCAAACAGG
rnacentral:rRNA from 1 species